UAAUUGGAGGGAUAGCCAUGAUGAAGACUAUGGAGGUGGAUAAUGAAGUCUCAUGCUGUGUCUGAAGUGAAGACUGCAUACAGACACUUUGGAUCCAGCCAUCUUGUUUGAAGCAGAAGCAAUGCUUGGAGAAAGGGAUUAAGACUUCACAUGAAAUCUCAGGCAUUUUCCAACAGAAAAAUGAAGUCAUGGAGCAAACAGUCAACGUAGUUCCCACACACAAUAAAAUACAAAGAUGCAGCAGAGCUUCUGGGGCUUGAAGAUAUUAUUCCUCUAGCAAGUCCCCUACUUUCACAUAAAGGAUGUUCUGUAGUGCAGAAAGGCAUUACAACAAAAGGUAUCAAAGGCAAAUCCAGCUGUCUUGGGG